GAAAGAAAAAGAAAGAAGAAGAAGGAGAAGAGGAAAUUGAUAGGAAAAUAAGGAUAAGGUGAAGAAAGAGGAAAAUUCAUAAAGAAUUUCCAGCAUCAGUUUUGGAUCUACUCAAAUUUAUUUUACCCCAGACAUGACAGAUUUCAAUCGUUCUACCCAAGUAAGAUUCAGCAUCUCAGAUAUGACAGUUCUUUCUCGCUCUGCCUGUGUUGGGGACAUUCAUCGGGUAUGACAGAUUUCUUCUUGAGAAUAUUAGUAGUGAUGUAUAGCUUAAGUUAUUGUAUUGGAGAGAGGUUCAGAAAUAAAUAAAGAAAAUAAAAAUAUAAGUUGUUGACAACCAGAUCUUGUUUUUAAAGAUAAUAUUUCCUAAGCAUAAUUUUAUCA